UACCGCGUAGCUCAGUUGGAAGAGCAUUGGGCUAGUAUUCCAAAGGUCGUAGGUUCGAAUCCCACCGUGGCCG